AUAGCAGAGCUUGACGACAACAUUGCGAAAUUAAGAAUGACUCAACAUGUCUCCAGUUUCGAUUUAACUCUUUUUUCCAUGUGUCAUAUUGGUGAGCCGAGCUUCAUAAGGCUUUUAAAGGUCUUGGCAAUUAUCCCUCUCUGGAUGUGCUUAGAGAAGGAUGCUGUCCAUCCAGUGUCUGCUGAUGAUAGGGAAACAAGAUUUAACACAAUCAGAGAUGCAAAGCAACACUGGAUAAGGGUGCUGAUGUGACCAGGUGCCAAGGCCGGCCAAGGUCAUGUUCAUCUGCAUGAUUAAGGGAGAUGGAUUCUGCCAUGACCUCUGGAUUAUGCCAGAAGGAAGUUCCUAGAAUGUAUGGGAGGCAGACGUGGUCUGCCUGCUCUCUACUGUCCCCUCCUGGUUGGACUUGGCAGCUGGUUUCCCCAUAGGGACAUCUAUCCAUCAGUCUGCAUGCAAGAACAACUCAUUCAUUACAAUCCUGAGUGUUAUCGCUGCCUUUUUUACAUAUUACAUUAUAAUUAGAAAUACCUUCUUCAGUUUGUUAAAGCAUCUCAGGAAGCUAAAAUUUGUCUGCAUAAGCAGGAAAGUUUUUUAUAUAUAAACAUACUUAAACGAAGCAUCUGUGUUUUUCACGCUG